CCCGAGGACACUGUGGCUCCCAAAGGUUUGAUGCCUCUGAUGCGGGUUUUAGAGCGUUCUGGCCCCAAAGAGAGUGGGUGGGAGAAUAAGAUUUGGGGGUGGGAGGGAGAGUGGGCCAGGCCUGGAUGCCUCCUGGCUGCAGAGAGGGGUGGCCGGCACUGGCAGGCCCCUGCCCCCACUGGCCCCCAGGGGUCAGGCCUGUCCUGUGGCCCUUUCCUGCCUCUGCAGCCCUCAGGGCUGUGGGACCCCCACCUCCCCCCCAGGGCCUUCAGCACCACUGCUGGUUUCUCCUCCCUUGUCCACAUCUUCUAAAUGGCCUUUCCGGAAAGCCCCAGACGUACCCCAUUUGCGUCUUUCUUUCAGCAGGACCCUGACUGCAGCUGGGCACACGAUUCAGCGGCGUCGGCUCCACUCAGCGUUGUGCCACCAUCGCCACCGUGCGUCACCAAGACCGUCCGUCACCCACAUGAUGGCUUUGGGGCCAGUGGGGUUGGAUUGUCUGCUGGGGGGAGAGGAGCGGAGGAAAAGAGGGUGCUCCUCCCAGUAAAGAGAUGGGGUGAGGCCAGGCGCCCCGCACCCUCCACCUGCUCCUUCCUGGAAGAGGAGAUGAUGCUUGGAGCUGCAGCAGCCACCUGAUGACCAAGAGGAAAGCAGAGGGCCAGGGCAGACCCUGCCAUCACUGGACUGCACCCAGCACCCAUAGAACCUAUGCUUGUUACACGAACAAACGAAGACUCCUUGCUGUGUUUAGGCUCCUUUGGCUUGGGUUUUCUGCUCACUGCAGCUGAACGCUGACAAAUCCAUGUUGCAUAGUGCGUUUAGAUCAGACUUCCCCCAACUCCAGUCUUCAAAAUACUGGUAAUAGAUGUUUCUGUGAAAGCAACAUCAACACCAGUAUUGUGUGUUUAUGUAUAUCAAGCUUACAGGAUAGUUAAAAAAAAAUACAAUCCCUGUGAAGAGAACUUCAACAUACACCCCUGUAACAAUUUGAUGUGGUUAUGAAUUCCAAAAAUAGAUAUUGGUUUAUGCUUGUAAUCUGCUCUGUACCUGGGCAUGACUGAGUUAGGAUUAGGGCGUGGAGCACCCGCCCCUUGCUGGGUGGGGACUACAGAUAAAAGGCCUGGCAGAGGACGGAGUGGAGGGUUUCUGAUGUUGGAGUUUUGAUGCUGAAGACUUAAGCUGGAGCCCCGGGAAGUCAGCUCACAGAGGAAAGAGAAACCAGCCCCAGGAAGAAGGAAACCCUGGGAAGAGGGGACCCUGAACACAGAGAGAAGCAAGACCCUGGAAGGGAGGAACCCAGGAAGCCUGAACCCUGGCAGACGUCGGCAGCCAUCCUGCUCCAGCGUGUGAAAAUAGACUUUGGUGGGGAAGUAACUUAUGCUUUAUGGCCUGGUAUCUGUAAGCUCCUACCCCAAAUAAUACCCUUUAUAAUGCCCAGCAGAUUUCUGGUUUUUUGCAUCAGCACCCCUUUGGCUGACUAAUACAGCCCUCCACCUGAACGCAGACCCACCAGUUUAAAAGUGUUGCCACGUUUGCUGUAUUCUCUCUCUCUCUCUCUCUAUCCAUCCAUCCAUUCUCUGAACACUUGAGUGUAGGUUGUGCACAUCAGGCCCUUGAACACUUAACACUGCCUGUACAUUUCCAAACAGUGAUACUCACACACAUAGCCACCGUCAGUGCAGCUGUCAAGCCAAGUAACCUAACAGUGACUAAAAGCUCGGCGUCUCUCUUCCAGCUUUUCACCUGUCCUUUGAGCCUUUUCUCCUCCCUUUUUAGAUGCCACCCAGGGUCAUGUAUUACUUUUAGUUGUCAUUAUCACUUUAGUUCCUCAAAGACUUCUUAAUAUAUUGAAAUCUCCCUUUUUUAGUAAGCAAAUUACCUUUUAUUUUGAUUCAAAGAAUGGAGUUUUUUGGCUUCAAGUCUCAGAUUUAUUUUAUUUUUCUUUUUUAGCACCCUAUACUUCCCCUGUGGGUAUUUUUUUUUUUUAACUCAUGCACAUACGCUGUUUGUACAGUAGAUAAUAAAAGUCAACAUAUAGAAAAGUGCCACGGCAGCAUUUCUAGAUACACCGUACAGUGACCCGCCUUCAGGAAGUGCGUGCUGUGCCCAAACGCGGGCGUGCCCCGGUGCAGGCGUCGGGCGCCCAGGCUGGUCAGCCUCCCCGCUGCCCCUCCAGCCCUGCCUGGCCACGGCCUCAAGCCGCGUCUUCAUCUGUAAUUUCAACAUAUUUUAUGAAACUCUCCAAUGGCCAACGAGGAGUGUGCUGUGCAAGCUCCUUUCUCCCAGGUCUUUUGCUUAAACGGGGACAAUUUAAACAAAAAGUGGCAAGGUCUAUGGUCCUCAAA
rnacentral:lncRNA from 1 species